UACGGGGGGUGCAAGCGUUGCUCGGAAUUAUUGGGCGUAAAGCGCGUGUAGGCGGCUUACUAAGUCUGAUGUGAAAUCCCAGGGCUUAACCCUGGAACUGCAUCGGAUACUGGUGAGCUAGAGGACGAGAGAGGGUGGGAGAAUUCCUGGUGGAGAAGUGAAAUUCGUAGAGAUCAGGAGGAAUACCGGAGGCGAAGGCGCCUGCCUGGCAAGAUAUUGACGCUGAGGUGCGAAAGCGUGGGUAGCAAACAGG
rnacentral:rRNA from 1 species